GCUUGCUGGAUACCCUGUUGAAUGCUUUUCAAGAAAGCUUCAAGAGCAAGUUAUGUUUCUGAAGGACUCUUUCAACUUCUGUAUUCACUUUUCUGAAAAAUUUCUACGAAGCAUUUUGUGUGCUAAGUGCUAACAAAAAAGAUUAGCUCAAAAACAGGUAGCUUGUUUCUUGAUUUCAUGGGGAAUCAGUAAUAUAAGCCUAUGCUAAUAGUUAAUAUACACUAAUAAAGAUGACAAUCUGAUGCAUGAUA
rnacentral:misc_RNA from 1 species